CGCUAAUACCGCAUACGCCCCAAGGGGGAAAGCGGGGGAUCUUCGGACCUCGUGCUACAGGAUGAGCUUGCGUCGGAUUAGCUAGUUGGUGGGGUAAAGGCCUACCAAGGCGACGAUCCGUAGCUGGUCUGAGAGGAUGAUCAGCCACACCGGGACUGAGACACGGCCCGGACUCCUACGGGAGGCAGCAGUGGGGAAUAUUGCGCAAUGGGGGCAACCCUGACGCAGCCAUGCCGCGUGUGUGAAGAAGGCCUUCGGGUUGUAAAGCACUUUCAGUGGGGAGGAAAGGGCGCUGGCUAAUAUCCAGUGCAGUUGACGCUACCCACAGAAGAAGCACCGGCUAAUUCCGUGCCAGCAGCCGCGGUAAUACGGAAGGUGCGAGCGUUAAUCGGAAUUACUGGGCGUAAAGCGCGCGUAGGCGGCUUGGUAAGUCGGGUGUGAAAGCCCCGGGCUCAACCUGGGAACUGCAUUCGAUACUGCUGGGCUAGAGUACGAGAGAGGGGGGUGGAAUUC
rnacentral:rRNA from 1 species